rfam:Capsicum annuum cultivar Zunla-1 chromosome 7, whole genome shotgun sequence
AUUUCAUGAUUUGGGCAUUAUAUCAACUUCUUAUUGAACCUUAACCAUGCUUCAUGUGAUGGUUCACCAUUUAAUUGCUGGAAGUUUAUGAUUUUAUUCCUCAAUU